rnacentral:tRNA from 1 species
AUCCCUGUGGCGCAGUUGGUAGCGCAUGGUGUUUGCAACGCCAGCAUGGUGUGUGCAACGCCAGGGUUGUGGGUUCGAUUCCCACGGGGGGCC